rnacentral:rRNA from 1 species
AGUGAACGCUGGCGGUAGGCCUAACACAUGCAAGUCGAACGGCAGCACAGUAAGAGCUUGCUCUUACGGGUGGCGAGUGGCGGACGGGUGAGGAAUACAUCGGAAUCUACUUUUUCGUGGGGGAUAACGUAGGGAAACUUACGCUAAUACCGCAUACGUCCUACGGGUGAAAGCAGGGGAUCUUCGGACCUUGCGCGAUUGAAUGAGCCGAUGUCGGAUUAGCUAGUUGGCGGGGUAAAGGCCCACCAAGGCGACGAUCCGUAGCUCGUCUGAGAGGAUGAUCAGCCCCACUGGAACUGAGACACGGUCCAGACUCCUACGGGAGGCAGCAGUGGGGAAUAUUGGACAAUGGGCGCAAGCCUGAUCCAGCCAUACCGCGUGGGUUAAGAAGGCCUUCGGGUUGGAAAGCCCUUUUGUUGGGAAAGAAAAGCAGCAGGUUAAUACCCCGCUGUUCUGACGGUACCCAAAGAAUAAGCACCGGCUAACUUCGUG